GAGCAUUAGCUCAGUCGGUAGAGCACUUGACUUUUAAUCAAGUUGUUCGGGGUUCGAAUCCCCGA
rnacentral:tRNA from 1 species